AACGAACGCUGGCGGCAGGCCUAACACAUGCAAGUCGAACGCCGUAGCAAUACGGAGUGGCAGACGGGUGAGUAACGCGUGGGAACAUACCCCUCGGUUCGGAAUAACUCAGGGAAACUUGAGCUAAUAACCGGAUACGUCCGAGGUUUUAAUCGACCUUGGAGAAAGAUUUAUCGCCGGAGGAUUGGCCCGCGUCUGAUUAGCUUGUUGGUGAGGUAAUGGCUCACCAAGGCGACGAUCAGUAGCUGGUCUGAGAGGAUGAUCAGCCACAUUGGGACUGAGACACGGCCCAAACUCCUACGGGAGGCAGCAGUGGGGAAUAUUGGACAAUGGGCGAAAGCCUGAUCCAGCCAUGCCGCGUGAGUGAUGAAGGCC
rnacentral:rRNA from 1 species